UUAGAGCCAGCCUGUACCAUUAAGUAAUUAUAUUAAAUGUAGAAUCCAUUCAGGAAAACAGGUCUGUCUGCCUGCCUUUUGGUUUAUAUUGCCUUUUCUGCUUUUCCCCCUGUGAGUUGGUUAAAGGUGCCAAGAUGAUUGAAUCUUUUCUGCCUCAAGAGAGGCAGUUUGAGCUUUGAACCCUAACCCAUUUGGGACCAUAUGGCUCUCGUUCUCCCACUGCCAAUGUACCUGCCUUGCUGUUUGGCCUGAUUUGGCCAAAGGGCAUGUUUUGUUUUCUUAAAAACCUGUUAAAUUCAUACCACAUCCUACUCUUUGAGUCAUCAUCAAUCCCCUCCAUUUCCCCUUCUGUUUUCCGCCUUAUUGUUCAUCUUUACUAAGCAAGCAAAGUGGGACAUCAAAUCAGGUAAUCAGCGUCAGACAACCAAUUCCUGGAAAGCAGAUGUGGCCAUAAGGCUUUCCUAGGUAUACAGCACUCAGAAAUGCUGCCCACAGAAGAAAACAACCAAUGAGCUUGUGGUGAUAGAGCAGUGCCCCCAGCACGCACACACCAUGAGCGAUACGCACAUUGUUAUCCGGCUGCUCUGGGUGCAUCAACUGCAUGUGCAGAGCCCACAAGACCCUCGCUACUGCCUCCAGUCCCCACACACCUCUUCAGCAGGGAAACUAUUGCGACACGCCAACCGUGACUUCACCCACUCCAGCAUAAAGACUGAAAGACAAGGAAGUUUUCAAAGGAGAAUUCCCCUUGCUAGCAUGAUGCCACCGCCUGCUGAAGGCAAUACUCAUGGAGAAGAAAAGCAGCCGCAUGAAAUUGUUCAGAUCUUAAAAUAUUCGUCUGAUCCAGCUGGUCCAUCAGAGAAAACAAAUGGAUUUCUGUACACUUAUCUUCAGCGGAGGCAAAUUCUCCCCAUCCUUGUUCUCACUUAAUUUUGAAUGUGUCUG